rnacentral:rRNA from 1 species
UAGCGUUAUGGACCCACCUGAUCCCAUGCCGAACUCAGUAGUGAAACGUAAUAGCGCCGAUGGUAGUGUGGGGUCUCCCCAUGUGAGAGUAGGACAUCGCCAGGC